rnacentral:lncRNA from 1 species
GGCCAAGACGUAACCCUGAAGGGUCUGGCUCCUGGGCAGGACGUUACCCCACGCUCACUGCUCCUUAAAUACAUAUUCUCAACUUGCAGAAACCAGGUCUGGGCAUGGGCAUCGGGCAGUGGCUUCUAUUACCCCACACCACCCAGAGCAGCGACGGCCUGGCAGCCUGGGAAAAUGCAAUGUCUAUACCAACUCUGUUCUUCUCUUAGACUCCUGCUGUCCACCAGAGGAGGGAGAGCAGGGGACAUGAACCGUGGAGAGAAGACAGCCAGGCUUGUGGAGGACGGUUCCCCCCUGUCAGAGGUCUUGCUCUCUACUGGCUUUGCCCCAGGAAGGCCGCCAGGGAUAGGCAAGGGCAGACUGGGCCCUCCAGGGACCAAAGAUGGAACGAGAAGCGAGGCUGCUAAAAGCAAGUCUGCAUCCCGGACACACGCCCCACAAGCGCCCGGCACACUGUGUCCUUGUGGACUGGACGAGAGAACGAGCAAAGCAGUCCAGAGAGGGGCCAGCUCUGGCGUAGAGGACAAGCCAAGUAGGCGGACGAGACCCUGGGCUCUGUGAGCCAAGGGACCCCGCCCACCCCGUAUGCCUAACAAGUGGUCCCAGCAGCGACACCAGCCGCACGCGUGACACUUGGUGCACAUCACGACAGCCCCUUGAUCCACAGAGUCUCAUUAUGCAUCACCCCACUGCACAGAGGGGGAAACUGAGGCACAGAAAAGGCCAGCGC